rnacentral:rRNA from 1 species
CAUCUCCUUUUGAUAAUAAUUUAAGGUCGUAUCUGCCCACUGAAAUUUUAAAUGGCCGCAGUAAUUUGACUGUGCUAAGGUAGCAUAAUAAUUAGUUUUUUAAUUAAAAGCUGGUAUGAAUGAUUUGAUGAGAUAUUAGCUGUCUCUAUUUAAAUUUCAAAGAAAUUUAUUUUUAAGUUAAAAAGCUUAAAUGAUUUUAAAAGACGAGAAGACCCUAUAGAGUUUAAUUAACUAUUAUAUGUUUAAAUUAAUUGAUAAUAAUAAUUAAUUUAUAUUAGUUAAUUUUGUUGGGGUGACAAUAAAAUUUGAUUAACUUUUAUAUUUAAAACAUUAAUAUAUGAUUAAUUGAUCCAUUAAAAGAUGAUUAAAAGAUUAAAUUACCUUAGGGAUAACAGCGUAAUUAUUUUAGAGAGUUCUAAUCGAUAAAAUANAUUGNGACCUCCAUGAUGGAUUAAAGUUGAUUNUUGGUGUAGAAGCUAAGAUUU